rfam:Brassica rapa chromosome A5, whole genome shotgun sequence.
UCGAGGUGACGAUAGAAAUUUCACAGGUCUGUCAAUCCCCUGAAAACAUUUUUGUGAUGUUAUUGUGAUAUCUCGACAGGUUCUGAUCGG